rnacentral:rRNA from 1 species
AAUGACUCUCGGCAACGGAUAUCUCGGCUCUCGCAUCGAUGAAGAACGUAGCGAAAUGCGAUACUUGGUGUGAAUUGCAGAAUCCCGUGAACCAUCGAGUUUUUGAACGCAAGUUGCACCCGAAGCCAUUAGGCCGAGGGUACGUCUGGCUGGGUGUCACACAAUG